rnacentral:rRNA from 1 species
AACGAACGCUGGCGGCAGGCCUAACACAUGCAAGUCGAACGCCCCGCAAGGGGAGUGGCAGACGGGUGAGUAACGCGUGGGAACCUACCUUGUGGUACGGAACAACCAAGGGAAACUUUGGCUAAUACCGUAUGAGCCCUUAGGGGGAAAGAUUUAUCGCCAUGAGAUGGGCCCGCGUAGGAUUAGCUAGUUGGUGAGGUAAUGGCUCACCAAGGCGACGAUCCUUAGCUGGUCUGAGAGGAUGACCAGCCACACUGGGACUGAGACACGGCCCAGACUCCUACGGGAGGCGGCAGUGGGGAAUAUUGGAAAAUGGGCGCAAGCCUGAUCCAGCCAUGCCGCGUGUGUGAUGAAGGCCUUAGGGUUGUAAAGCACUUUCGCCGAUGAAGAUAAUGACGGUAGUCGGAGAAGAAGCCCCGGCUAACUUCGUGCCAGCCGCCGCAGUAACAC